rnacentral:lncRNA from 1 species
GAUUAUUGAAUAUUUGCCAUUUAUAUAGUUUUCACUUAUUGUAAAGGAAGUAAAACAUUUCCCCAGUGUGAGUAGCUUUACCUGCAGUGUCCAUUUAAAUAUUUCGGACAAUGAACUGUCCCAUUGAGAGGAUACUGAGGAGAUCAUUUGUUUCUUCAUGUAAAUAAAUCAAUGAGUGAUGGAUAUCUCUCAGGAGAAAUAAAAAGGUCCCCAUUAAUAAACUCAACAGAGAACAAUAUUUGUAUUCUUUAAGUUAUAAAGUUCAUUGUCCAAAAAUUUAAAUCGUCCAUAACAAAAAUUCACCCAUUGUUGUACUCUAUGUUAUGUGUUCUUCUUG